UAUUGGCCUUAGGUGGUCGACCUACUGGCCUUUUAGUUUUUGAGUUGCCAGGUUGUUGCCCUGGCGCCUCCUGAGAAUUCGCUCCUCCUCCUUGGGAAGUGCUUCGAGUUACCACCAUCCUGGAGUGUUCGACUUUUCUUAGAAGGAGUGUUCGACUUUUGCUUGGGGAGAAAAGUCGAUCUUCAAAAAGUCGAUCCCUAGUGCACUUGGAGGAUUCCUUGGAAGCCGAUGUUCGAAAGCCUAGCUCCUUGAGGGGUCGACUUUUCUUCGGAAGAAAAAAGUCGAUCUCCUGAAAUGUCGAUCCCUUGCUGGCUGAUUUCCUCGCAAAACUUCCUAGCUGGCG
rnacentral:lncRNA from 1 species